rnacentral:rRNA from 1 species
CAGCCGCCGCGGUAAUACAGAGGGUGCAAGCGUUAAUCGGAAUUACUGGGCGUAAAGCGCGCGUAGGUGGUUCGCCAAGUUGGAUGUGAAAUCCCCGGGCUCAACCUGGGAACUGCAUCCAAAACUGGCGAGCUAGAGUAUGGUAGAGGGUGGUGGAAUUUCCUGUGUAGCGGUGAAAUGCGUAGAUAUAGGAAGGAACAUCAGUGGCGAAGGCGACCACCUGGACUGAUACUGACACUGAGGUGCGAAAGCGUGGGGAGCAAACAGGAUUAGAUACCCCUGUAGUCCCUGUCUCUUAUAU